rnacentral:rRNA from 1 species
GACGAACGCUGGCGGCGUGCUUAACACAUGCAAGUCGAACGGAAAGGCCCUGCUUUUGUGGGGUGCUCGAGUGGCGAACGGGUGAGUAACACGUGAGUAACCUGCCCUUGACUUUGGGAUAACUUCAGGAAACUGGGGCUAAUACCGGAUAGGAGCUCCUGCAGCAGGGUGGGGGUUGGAACGUUUCGGCGGUUGGGGAUGGACUCGCGGCUGAUCAGCUUGUUGGUGGGGUAGUGGCUUACCAAGGCUUUGACGGGUAGCCGGCCUGAGAGGGUGACCGGCCACAUUGGGACUGAGAUACGGCCCAGACUCCUACGGGAGGCAGCAGUGGGGAAUAUUGCACAAUGGGCGGAAGCCUGAUGCAGCGACGCCGCGUGCGGGAUGACGGCCUUCGGGUUGUAAACCGCUUUCGCCUGUGACGAAGCGUGAGUGACGGUAAUGGGUAAAGAAGCACCGGCUAACUACGUG